rnacentral:rRNA from 1 species
AUGCACCACGCACCCGCACAACCCCGUCUCCGGCGACACUGCGUCGGGGGACAUGACCCGCGUGGUGCUCUCCGCCAACGCCACCGACGGCAGGAACCCGUUGGGCCCGGUGUCGUUCACCGCCGUGACGUCCUGCGCGCCGGACUCCCUGUUAGCGGGGCUGCCGGCGGGGGCCGUCGGAGUCGCGGGGCUCGCGCGCUCGGGCCUCUCGUUCCCCGCUCAGGUCGCGCGCACGCAAGGCGUCCUAACUCGUUCGCGCUCUGCCUCCCAAGCGGCCCAGGAAACGGCGUCGCCAUCUUCGGCGGUGGCCCGCUCAUCGCGGCGAAUGGGCGGCCACUGACGGAGAUGCUGGUCGGCGAGACCCCCCUUCGCAAGCACAAGGAAUCCCCCGGCUACUACAUCUCGGCGAGCAAGGGCAUCGCCGUGGACGGAGCGCAGGUGCCGGUGGGCCAGUACGCACCGCUCACCAUCGGCCUUUCCACGACUAUCCCCUACGCGGAGCUGCGCCGGGACGUGUAUCGUCCGCUCAUCAACGCGUUCGACCAGGCGAUGGAACGCCAGGGUGGGAGGGUCCCCUCCCCGGCUGCGGCGCCGUUCGAGCUGUGGUACAACUCGUCCAGGCUUUCGCCGACGCGGUUCGGCUACUUCGUGCCAACGGUCGAUCUGAUGCUGGAAGGGGGCAGGAACUGGACGGUGUUCGGCAUCAACUCCAUGGCACAGGUGAACCGCGCCACAGCGUGCUUCGCUUUCGUCGAGAUGAAGACGGGGGACAAGUCCGAGUAUGGCGGCCUUGCGCCGCCGGCGGUGGUACUCGGAGGGUUCCAGAUGCAGCAGAACCUGCUGGUGUUCGACGAGGAGAAGCAGACUCUCGGAUUCACCUCGCAGCUCACCGGAAGGGGGCUCUCGUGCGGCCAAUUCAAUUUUACGAUGUCUGCCUAA